rnacentral:rRNA from 1 species
GACGAACGCUGGCGGCGUGCUUAACACAUGCAAGUCGAACGGAAAGGCCCCUUUGGGGGUACUCGAGUGGCGAACGGGUGAGUAACACGUGAGUAACCUGCCCUUGACUUCGGGAUAACUUCAGGAAACUGGGGCUAAUACCGGAUAGGAAUCCUUGCUGCAUGGUGGGGGUUGGAAAGCUUCGGCGGUCUUGGAUGGACUCGCGGCUUAUCAGCUUGUUGGUGGGGUAGUGGCUUACCAAGGCUUUGACGGGUAGCCGGCCUGAGAGGGCGACCGGCCACAUUGGGACUGAGAUACGGCCCAGACUCCUACGGGAGGCAGCAGUGGGGAAUAUUGCACAAUGGGCGGAAGCCUGAUGCAGCAACGCCGCGUGCGGGAUGACGGCCUUCGGGUUGUAAACCGCUUUCAGCAGGGGCGAAGCUUGUGGUGACGGUACCUGCAGAAGAAGCACCGGCUAACUACGUG